ACACAGACCUGCUGAAUUUAAGCAUAUAAGUAGGCAGAGGAAGUGACACAAAAGUGGACUCACACAGUAGUUGCGAACGAAGAGUGAAAGACUCAAUUCGAAAUGUGUGGGUUUCUGCCCAUGACAUGAAAUCUCCGAAUGUGUGACUAAGGGUGGUGCAGGUGUGAGCCAUCUUGCAAGAGGGGAGGGCGUGCAUCAACAAGGGUGAGAAUCCUGUGUGUUGCUUGCAGACUUCUGUGUACAGUGCCCAUUUUCAGAAUCAUGCUCUUUGGAACUGGAGUGCAAAGUGGGUGGUAGCUCCCACUCAAAGUCGAACAUGACAUUGGGACUGACAGGGGAGAAGUACCGUGAGGGAAGCGUGAAAAGGACUUUGGAAAGAGAUUUAAAAGAGCCUGCACUUGCUGAGUGCCAAGCACACAGGAUGGCAGAGGUGGGAGAGAUUGCUGCGUGCGUGUGCAAUUCUGGCUGUCACCAGACAGGAGCUUGCCAUGCAUGCUUGUGCUGCAUGUGGAGAUUCUUUUCUUGAGUGCCAGUAUGUAUGUAUGUAGUCGAUGCCUGUUGGCAUUGCUUGUGGUGUAUCCUGGGAUAUGUGAUUGUGUGUGCCUUGUCUGAACGUGCCGAAGGCUCUGUUGCACUGUGACCCAAGCUGUCAGCAUGCCUGUCUGUUUUCACUGUUGGGGAGUCCAUGACCAGUGUGUUUGCGGUGAGCUCCAUUCUGUGUGACCCGUCUUGAAACACGGACCAAGGAGUCUAGCAUAGUUGCAAGCUUGUGGGGGAGAGAACUCAGUGCACAAUGAAGGUGGAGUCCCAGAGUGGGCAUGAGUGUUCAACCAAGCAGCAGGAUGAGGUUUGAGCCUGAGUAUGCCCGCUAGGACCCGAAAGAUGGUGAACUAUGCCUGGGAAGGGCAAAGUCAGGGGAAACUCUGGUGGAGGCUCACAGCGCUACUGACGUGCAAAUCGUUCGUCACACCUGGGUAUAGGGGCGAAAGACUAAUCGAACCAUC
rnacentral:rRNA from 1 species